rnacentral:rRNA from 1 species
CCUACGGGUGACAGCAGUGAGGAAUCUUGGUCAAUGGGCGGAAGCCUGAACCAGCCAAGUAGCGUGCAGGAUGACGGCCCUACGGGUUGUAAACUGCUUUUAUACGGGAAUAACGCGCCUUCCGUGUAGGGCUUUGCAUGUACCGUAUGAAUCAGGACCGGCUAAUUCCGUGCCAGCAGCCGCGGUAAUACGGAAGGUCCGGGCGUUAUCCGGAUUUAUUGGGUUUAAUGGGAGCGUAGGCCGCAUGUCCAGCGUGCUGUGAAAUGGCCGGGCUCAACCCGGGCCUUGCAGCGCGAACUGGCGUGCUUGAGUCCGCGGAAAGCAGGCGGAAUUCGUCGUGUAGCGGUGAAAUGCUUAGAUAUGACGAAGAACCCCGAUUGCGAAGGCAGUUUGCUGCAGCGGAACUGACGCUGAUGCUCGAAAGCGCGGGUAUCGAACAGGAUUAGAUACCCUAGUAGUC